ensembl:lncRNA PPP1R3B-DT PPP1R3B divergent transcript
CAAAGUGCUGGGAUUACAGGCUUGAGCCACCGCGCCCCGCUCUUUCGUGUUCCAAAGGCUUUUUAAAUAAACUUCCACUCCUGUCCUGGAUUCUGCUUUAUGGCCCUCAGUCGAAUUCUUUCUUCUGAGGAGGCAAGGACUGAAGUUGCUUCUGACCAGUACAGGGAAGGGAGAAAUGAGGAGUUCUUUCAUGGGAGAAAACGAAUACAGCAGGGAUGACUUCCACCAGCUCCACUUUGCAGCUCUGAGGUGUAUUAAAAAUGACCUGGAAGAAGUCAUGCCACGGGCCAGACCUUAACAUUCCUUUCGGCUUACCCCAGGAUUUCAGACGAAGCUUCACUUUCCUAACCAGUCACAAAUCAGAGAAUUUUUGAUUCCACCUAUGACCUGUGAGCUCCUGCUUCAAGAUAUUCCACCUUUUUUAGGCCAAACCAAUGUAUAACCUCCAAGUGUCGAUUUACACUUUCGACUGUAACUUCUGCUUUCCUGAGAUUUACCCCUGCCUUUAAAAACCCUUGCUUGUAAUCCCUCAGGGAGGCCGUGUAUUUAUUAAUCAUGAGCUGCCCAAUUCUCCUUGCUUGGUGCCCUGCAAAUAAACACCCUCUUUUCUCCCACUGCAAAA